CAGGAGAAGGCCACCUACGAUUGAUGCCAAAGUAGCACCAGUUUAUAUAGGCCACAUCAACGCCCAUCCCAACUGAAAACAAUAGCCAGCCUCUGAUUCUCCCAGCGCGCCUUGCCUGAUGUUUGUCUGUCGUACAGAUUGCCAACUUGCAGGCCACAGAAGUGAUUUAAAGGAAGAGAGAGGGGAGACCCUGGUGCUGCAGGAUAUCGGAGGCUGAGCGAUAGCCGGCCCAAAGACAGGAAACGAAGGGAGUGGCGAGGCUGGAAUUGGGGCAGACGCUCAGAUGCCGGGGCAAUGAGCCUGAAUGCCGGGAGGGGCGAGGUGGGAUAUCAUAAGAGACCAGGGCCAAGAUGCGGGAGUGGGUGGUUCAGUGGAAUAUUUGGUGUCCGUUUACCGGCACAGCCAAGCGGAUACAAGAUCAGAAUGUUCCUCAGGGCACUUCUAAGCAACAGUCCCUUUAGCAGCAAAAAAAAAAAUGCAUCAUGCAUCAGUGUGUGAGACGGCUUGAGGAAGUAACCGUCCAUCUGCUGUUUCACUUGAGAAUACAACUAUGGGAAAGUGACUGGCUUAGGUCCAAACAAAGCAGGAAACUCCAUCCUCACAUUACCCCGCUGCGCAGAGGUGUCUGGAAAAGCACCUGCACCAGGGCCCCCUAAUGACUCAAGAAAUGUGUGAACCUUCUAACUGCAUUUCCUGGGUUUCCUUUCUGUGAUUUUUAGGAGGCUGGUGUCUGACCCAUGCCGAAGCUGGGUCAAGGAGCCGGCCUUGAGCUCAAGGCUGAGUCAGGGGCCCAGGCUCAAGUCUGGGUUCUAGAAAGCCCAGGUCUGAAAAGCUGCUGCUCAAGAGAUUUUGGCCCCUAAAACCAGAAACGUGAGUUCAGCUGCUCCUGUGAGAGCGAUGGUUCUUUCAAGAAUUUGGACACAGCUGAACUUGCCCUAAAGACCCUUUCAGGUUCAGGAUCAAACUCAGAACUGCAAUGUAGGGUGGGAACUACAUCCAGGAAUUUGAACCCUGCCACUUUUCCUUCUUCCCCAAACUGAGAGAGACUCAGGUUCAAGGCUUUAAACAGUUUUCAUCAUACAAGAUCCCAAAGAAUAUUGCAAAUUACCCAGACCCAGGAAUCAAUUAACCUAGCAUGGAAAUGCAGCCACCUCUUGGGAGGAGAACAGCAGCCGGGCAACCAACACGCUAUAGAGCAGCACCGGGAGGGGAAGUUUGGCCACAGACACCCAUACAACAGCACCACAACUUCUUGAACAUCCAUACAGGGCCUUGUUUCUGGAAGAUCGUAACUGCAGGGACUUCAAAUUCUCCUUUUCUCCCCCAGCAGGUGAUGAGACUUCCAGAAUUUGAGCCUCUGAUUCUAAGGUGGCUCACAUCCCAGUGCUUAGCCUGAACUGCGGCCUCUAGCAUCGUAAUUGUAGCCUAAAAAACGUAAUGGAGGGUAAAAUACAUCGCUACAGCAGCAGCUCUGCAGCCGUAAAGGUUUAUGAAAAUAUACGGAGAGUGAUGGCGUAGCAGUGCCGAGCAGCAAAUAAAUCAUCGUCUGUUUCCGGUGGAGCGGAGAGCCGGCUUCAGGGAGUUACUGCACUUCUGUUUUUAUGACUCAAGUACCCACCUGCACAGAUUAGCCAGAAGGAGAUGUUACAUGCUGCAGCCGUUAAAAAUGUUACUUCAUCUGAGGUCAGAGAAAACCUCCAUCAUUUUAGACUCAUGUGUGGUCCUGCAACAUCUCCUUGGAUACCUGGAGGAUUGGGAGCUCUCAUAUUAACGAAGGGAGAGAAGUCUGAGGUCGUGCUGUUAGCGCUAACACCAACAGCUUCAGAAGUACAGGAAGAUAGCCUUAGGAUGCUACAGUACAUCACAGAAUGAUUACAUUGACUAUCUGACAACUUUUCUCUGCACCUAGGACAUUCAAGUAGAGUAGGCCCCAAAUGCAUAGAUUUUAAAUAAAAAAGAGGCCUAUAAAAUUUAACUGAAAUACCACGGAAGACACAAAAGCACUGUAUCAGCAUAAAAGAAUCAGAAAAAUGAAACCAAAAAUAAGUGUGAAACAGAUUAGUCUACUUUCAUAUCCAAGACAGUGCAAAAAGUGAAUAGCAAUUGUAAAGAGUAAUUCAGCUUUUGAAAAGUCCUUCAAGUUUUAGUGAAGGACUAUGGUGAAACAAGUAUAAAAAUUAAAAGAAUGUUGCCAAAAUAAUCUAUAUCAGAAAAUUAUCUAUAUUCAGCAUCUUCAAGGAAAACAAGAACAUCAUCAGUUACUUGACUCAAGUCGAUCCAGAAUUCACUAGACAAAACUUGACUUUUACUUGCUGAGCAAUGCGUUAAACAUUAAAAGAAUAUGCUUGUAUAGUCACAUGCACCAGUAUUUAACAGAGCUGAUCUAUCCCAGAAGAAAGCCCACCUGGUUAAACUACAUCUGAAUCACACAAAAAUCCCAGCCACCCCACCUCUUUCCAGGCAUGCAUUUUGAAGUACAUCAAAUCAUAGAAAUGCAAGGUUGCAAGGGACCUAGAAAACUCAACAGGUCUAACCCCCCUGCACUGAGGCAGGACCAAGUAAACCUAGAUCAUCCUGAUAGGUGUUUGUCCAACCUGUUCUUAAAAACCUCCAAUGAGGAGGAUUCCACAACCUCCCUUGGAAGCCCAUUCUAGAGCCUAAUUACCCUAACAGUUAAAAAGUUUUUCCUAAUAUCUAACCAAAAUCUUCCUUGCUGCAAAUUAAGCCCAUUACUUCUUGUCCUACAUUCAGUGAACAUGAGCAACAAGUGAUUACCAUCCUCUUUAUAACAUCCCUUAACAUAUUUGAAGACUUAGGUUAAAAAAACUGGGGGGACCUGCUUUCUUCAUAGGUCAGAUUUCCUAAACUUUUUAUUGCUCUCCUCUAUUUCCAAUUUGUCCAUAUCUUUCCUAAAGUGUCACCCAGAACUGGACACCGUUCUCCAGCUGAAGCCUCAUGAGUGCCAAAUAAAGGGAGACAAUUACCUCAUGUCUUACACUCGGCACGCCUGUUAAUAUACUCCACAAUAUUAGCAUUUUUCACAACUGUAUCACAUUGAUAACUCAUGUUCAAUUUGUGUUCCAUUAUCAUCCCCUGAUCCUUUUUAGCAAUACUACCACGUAGCCAGUUAUUCCCCAUUUUGUACUGGCACAUUCGAUUUUCCCUUCCUAAGUGUAGUACUUUGCACUUGUCUUUAUUGAAUGUCAUCUUGUUGUUUUCAGAUCAGUUCUCUAACUGGUCAAGAUUCUCCAAAGUGCUUGCAUAUGUUACAAAUGCUAUGAAGGAUGAAGAGCUGCAAUCCACACAAUGCUUGUUUUCUUACCAGCAUCUGAUUUCUGUCCAUAAUCCCUUUGACCUGUAGAAUGGGUAAAAAAAAUGAAAGAAAGGCUACUUUAGCAAGGAAAGCCUUUUUACAAAGCUUGUUAAAUAAGAUAAGAUAUUCAAGCUACAUAUGCAAUGUAUCUAAAAUCUAAGUCAUUAACCAGAGAUCUGGAGAAUAUUUAGAUUAAAAUGUUCAGUAGCAGGCAUCUGCAGAAUGUUAACACGUUCUUUAGCUUGCAGUCUAUGGCAUCUGCCACAUUAGCAUUAUGCUGGUGUUUAUCUUGCAAAUGCUGGUUGUCAGACGACCAAGCAGUUUACCACAAUUAUUUUGUCACUAGUACCUUUCAAAGCAGCAUUUGUAACAAAAAACCCAAAAUCCGGUGAAGGUUGUAAAUCUCCACAAUUUCUUUCAUGCAAUUUGACAGAGUAGAAAUCCAGUUUAUUGUUAAAAGAUUGACUUUUAAAGCACACAAACACACCAGCCCCAGAAAAACAGAAACGCUAGAAUGCUUCUACUGGAUAGUAAUAAGAUAUUGGUGGCUUUUAGAUUUAUACAGAAUUUCCACUGAAACAUUUUGGAUACUUGGCACUUACCACCAAAAUUUUUGAAGCCACCACGGUCACCACCACUGCAGAGGAAAAAUUGAAGAAAUGAUUUCUUCCUCAAGUCUCUACGUGCUGAGCCUAAGGCUCAAUCUACACUUAUCUGAUCAAAAGUUAUUGUCUAGUGGCUAAAGCUUCACCUCUAUGUUUUGCACACUAUUUAUUUGUGUUCAGAGAUUAUUCUUUCAGAUAGCUAAUCUCCUAGGGCACGAAUCCCAGAAACUAACCUCCAAAAGAAUUGCUGAAACAAAGGUGGGUGUAUACACUAAUUAAAAAACCCUUUUCCAGCCCACAAGCCAAACGAAUGCUAUUUAAAACUGGGAUUUAAAACAGAGGCAUACUUUUUAUAAAAAUUAGUGGGCUUUACUCCAAUCUAGCAGCUGCAUGGAUAGUUAAUUACCACUUGUGAACUGAAAUUAAUUAAUCUCUAUUCUUAUGCAUUCAAGUAAAUUUGGAUAAAUUAGUAUUACUAAGCACACUCUGAAGUAGGAUGUGUGAGGAUCUGGGAAUCUGUGCAACAAUGUACUACUAGCAUUUGACAUUAAUGAUAAGGUGUGUGUAUGAGAAUGAGCUUCAAUAGCAGAGGUCGUGAACUUUUAAUUAAUUCAUUCUGAAACCUGUGGCACAAAACGUAGACCAAGUUAAUAGCUUACACACACAGAUUGCCAGGGAAUGAGGGGAGUUUAGUUGAUGUGAAGUCCCAUUCCAAAUUUAAUGGUAGUAAAAGCCUGAUAUCUCCCACGCUUAUUCUAUUUAAUGUGUGGUUCACGGUAUUGAUAUUUCCCACAUUUAACAUUAACAACUAAAUCCAGGUGCAAGGAUUAACACACUCAAUAUUCAAGGCCUUUAGAAAAAGAUCAGCAGCAUUUUUAAAGUUAACAGCCAAGCCUUUCCAAGUUUACAAGACUGCCUGCUUGUGUGGGAGUGCAGGUUUUCCACAGCAGUUACCAGCAGUAAACUGGAAAGUUCAUUUCUCAUUGUGGGAACUCUUAUGCAGAGUAACUAAGAUAAAGAGAGUACAAGUAAAAAUCCUCAACUAGCACUCCUUGCCUAACCCUUGGAGGUUCUGCCCCACAGCUAAUGCACCAGCCACUGCAGUAGUUUAUGAUUAAAGUCUGGAGGGACUCCUAAUUAACUCCAAUCUCUCAACUUGUUAAGGUCCAAGUGUGGGACAAGAGCUCAAAAUAAGGGACAUUAGUAAAAUAGGCUUGUGACGUUGCACCCCAUAAGGCUUAAUGGAAAUAUGCUUAUGAAUGUAUAUAUGACAUAACUGGAAUAUGUUUUAUGCUACAUAUGCCAUGUAACAUCUCUCUGUAAAGGUUACGAAUACAUUCCUCCUAUUUGUAUGCAUGUAUCAUUUUUGUAUUUGAAGUUAUGAAUAUUGGCUAUAUACUUGCCUGAUUUCUAAGUAGCCUUAGUAGAGCAUUUGGUCAGCUUCUUGAGAAAGGAAUGUGCAAGUUAAAUGCCCAGUCAAGAACCACUUAAGCCAACAAUGAACUUGAAAACGCCAAUCCACAUCUGAGCUUUCCCAGGAAGGUGGCUUGGCUGGUAAGAAACUCAGUCAUACGUGUACAUGUGACUUGCCCAUGUGACACCAAAACUCCAUUUUGUAGCUGGAUUCUACACAGGUGUAUUCACCCACAAGAGAAAGUCUAUUUAAGCCCGUGGGAGACCCCUCCAUUUUGGUCUUCAGCUGGCUAAAGAGAUAACCUCUCCACCCCCAAGGAUACCUGGAAGAAACUGGAACAAAGACAGUAACUACAGGGAGUGAGAGAGAUUGCUGGACCAGACUAGAAGGAGACUAGUCUGUAAAAGGAAGUUCACUGGAAUUCCUCUAAGGGUGAGGUUUUUAUCUGUAUUCAGUUUUCUUAGACAUAGAUUUGCGUGUUCUAUUUUAUUUUGUUUGGUAAUUCACUUUGUUCUGUCUGUUACUACUUGGAACCAUUUAAAUCCUACUUUCUGUAUUUAAUAAAAUCACUUUUUACUUAUUAAUU